rnacentral:rRNA from 1 species
AUACGUAGGGAGCGAGCGUUGUCCGGAAUUACUGGGUGUAAAGGGAGCGUAGGCGGGAGUGCAAGUCAGAUGUGAAAUACAUGGGCUCAACCCAUGGGCUGCAUUUGAAACUGCAUUUCUUGAGUGAAGUAGAGGUAAGCGGAAUUCCUGGUGUAGCGGUGAAAUGCGUAGAUAUCAGGAGGAACACCGGUGGCGAAGGCGGCUUACUGGGCUUUUACUGACGCUGAGGCUCGAAAGCGUGGGGAGCAAACAGGAUUAGACACCCUGGUAGUCCACGCUGUAAACGAUGAUUACUAGGUGUGGGGGGACUGACCCCUUCCGUGCCGCAGUUAACACAAUAAGUAAUCCACCUGGGGAGUACGGCCGCAAGGUUGAAACUCAAAUGAAUUGACGGGG